rnacentral:rRNA from 1 species
CCUACGGGAGGCAGCAGUAAGGAAUAUUGGUCAAUGGGCGGAAGCCUGAACCAGCCAUGCCGCGUGCAGGAAGACGGCCCUACGGGUUGUAAACUGCUUUUAUACGGGAAUAAACCUCGAUACGUGUAUCGAGCUGAAUGUACUGUAAGAAUAAGGAUCGGCUAACUCCGUGCCAGCAGCCGCGGUAAUACGGAGGAUCCAAGCGUUAUCCGGAUUUAUUGGGUUUAAAGGGUGCGUAGGUGGCCUGUUAAGUCAGGGGUGAAAGACGGUAGCUUAACUAUCGCAGUGCCCUUGAUACUGAUGGGCUUGAAUAAACUAGAGGUAGGCGGAAUGUGACAAGUAGCGGUGAAAUGCAUAGAUAUGUCACAGAACACCAAUUGCGAAGGCAGCUUACUAUGGUUUUAUUGACACUGAGGCACGAAAGCGUGGGGAUCAAACAGGAUUAGAUACCCUGGUAGUCCACGCCCUAAACGAUGAAUACUCGAUGUUGGCGAUAUACGGGUUCAGCGUCUAGACGAAGACGUUAAGUUAAGUUACCUACCGUCGGGUAGGUACGGCCCGGCCGACGGUAGGAACGUACGAACUAGUAAGUUAGUACGGCGUGAGACGUGCCGACGGACGACGACGACGGGAGGAGGG